rnacentral:rRNA from 1 species
UGCUUGAGUAGUAUUAGGUAUGUUCUUGAAACUUAAAGAAUUUGGCGGUAUCUUAUUCCGUUCAGAGGAAUCUGUCUCGUUAUCGAUAGUCCGCGUUGGACCUUACUUGGUUGCUAUGGUUUGUAUACCGCCGUUUAUUGGUUAUGCUUUUAGGGUCUAUUAAUUUUCUGGUUUCUCUAUUUUGAUUUAUUUCAGGUCAAGGUGCAGCUUGUUUCUAAGUGUUAUUGAUGGAUUACAUUGUUUUUUGUUUUUUGGAUUGCUGGUUGAAUUAAUUGGUAUGAAAUUGGAUUUGAUUGUAAUGUCUUGAAGAUUGUUUUCGUGAUAUUGGUUCUAAGAUAUG